CAUGUCUAAGUAUAAGCAAUUAUACAGCGAAACUGCGAAUGGCUCAUUAUAUAAGUUAUCGUUUAUUUGAUAGUACCUUACUACUUGGAUAACCGUGGUAAUUCUAGAGCUAAUACAUGCUAAAAAUCCCGACUCACGAAGGGAUGUAUUUAUUAGAUUAAAAACCAAUGCCCUCUGGGCUCCUUGGUGAUUCAUAAUAACUUGUCGAAUCGCAUGGCCUUGCGCCGGCGAUGGUUCAUUCAAAUUUCUUCCCUAUCAACUUUCGAUGUUUGGGUAUUGGCCAAACAUGGUCGCAACGGGUAACGGAGGGUUAGGGCUCGACCCCGGAGAAGGAGCCUGAGAAACGGCUACUACAUCCAAGGAAGGCAGCAGGCGCGCAAAUUACCCAAUCCCGAUUCGGGGAGGUAGUGACAAUAAAUACUGAUACAGGGCUCUUUUGGGUCUUGUAAUUGGAAUGAGUACAAUUUAAAUCUCUUAACGAGGAACAAUUGGAGGGCAAGUCUGGUGCCAGCAGCCGCGGUAAUUCCAGCUCCAAUAGCGUAUAUUAAAGUUGUUGUGGUUAAAAAGCUCGUAGUUGAACCUUGGGCCUGGCUGGCCGGUCCGCCUCACCGCGUGUACUGGUCCGGCCGGGCCUUUCCCUCUGUGGAACCCCAUGCCCUUCACUGGGCGUGGCGGGGAAACAGGACUUUUACUUUGAAAAAAUUAGAGUGCUCCAGGCAGGCCUAUGCUCGAAUACAUUAGCAUGGAAUAAUGAAAUAGGACGCGCGGUUCUAUUUUGUUGGUUUCUAGGACCGCCGUAAUGAUUAAUAGGGACAGUCGGGGGCAUCAGUAUUCAAUUGUCAGAGGUGAAAUUCUUGGAUUUAUUGAAGACUAACUACUGCGAAAGCAUUUGCCAAGGAUGUUUUCAUUAAUCAGGAACGAAAGUUAGGGGAUCGAAGACGAUCAGAUACCGUCGUAGUCUUAACCAUAAACUAUGCCGACUAGGGAUCGGACGAUGUUGCUUAUUGACUCGUUCGGCACCUUACGAGAAAUCAAAGUGCUUGGGCUCCAGGGGGAG
rnacentral:rRNA from 1 species